AAGUGGUACGCGAGCUGGGUUCAGAACGUCGUGAGACAGUUCGGUUUAUAUCCGGCAUGAUCGUUAGGAAUUUUGAGGAGAUCUGCCCCUAGUACGAGAGGACCGGGGUGGACGAACCUCUAGUGUAUCGGUUGUGGCCACCUGCUGCAUCGCCGAGUAGCUAUGUUCGGAAGAGAUAAGCGCUGAAAGCAUAUUAAGCGCGAAGCCCACUCCAAGAUUAGAAUUCCCUAUGAGAUCCCAGAAAGAAGAUCUGGUUGAUAGGCGCAAGAUGGAAGCAUGGCAACGUGUGGAGUCGAAGCGUACUAAUAGAUCCAUCGCCUUUUUAUG
rnacentral:rRNA from 1 species